ACGAAACCAGCAGAGAUGGUGAUGCCCUCGGCCAAGAACCUGUGGGGAACGACCUUGAUUUUGAGUGCAAAGGCCAAUUUUACGAUUAUUUUGAGACUGGAUAUAAUGAGAGAAACCGUGUGAGUGAGUCUUGGAAAAAGUCUUUGAGGAAAAAGGAGCUUUCUCCGAGCAGCAAACUGUGCUGCAACAGAGGGGGUAAAAUGUGAUGCCCCCCACUGGCGCGGAAGCACGCACAGCAUGAUCAGUUUUUACUUUGGAUUUUGUAGUUUUGUACAACAGAUAAAAUCAUGCAGUGAACACCACGCCGGGUUGUCUCAUUGCCUGGAGAUCAGAUUGCACAAAACAUCUGUACAGUAGGCAUCUGCAAGCCACUUAUUCAUGUGAUUUUUUGCCAAGGAAAGCCAACUUCAUGUUUCAAAGUAUACCUUAGUUUUCUUUUCUUUUUCUUUUUUCUUUUCUUUUUUUUUUGUAAAAAAAAAUCAGUAGAAUAGAUAGAAGAAAACAUGCCCUCGUUAUAUUCCCACUGCCCCUCCAAGGAACCUGCGCUAGCCAAAUGCAACAUGUUUGCCAGUUAAUUAGGUAGUUACUUGGUAAACAAAUCAAUAUAACCAGCAGAGGUGCCUGCUUCGAUGUGAUGCAGUAUUUUUCUUUCCUGAGUAAAAGACUGGAGACAGGAAGCUAGAUGAAGUGGUUUCAUGAGCUGUGUCAUGUUUGUACUGGACAGGUUGGGGCAAAAUGAAGCGCACCUGGCAAGACAGCAAUCUAGGAUCUGUGGAGACAGUUCCCCACAAGCUCCUUGCUUGCCUGUGAUGGGUAGUGGGUGGCUAGAGAGGUGGCAUACAGAGCCACCUCUGAUGGGGUGAUGAUAGAGAGGUGGCACAUACAGAGCCAUCUUUGAUGGGGUGGCUAGAGAGGUGGUGUACAGAGCCAUCUCUGAUAGGGUCAUAGGGAGGUGGCAUGCAAAGCCAUCUUUGAUGGGGUGGCUAGAGAGGUGGCGUUCAGGGCCAUCUUAGUGAUGGGGUGAUAGGUGGCAUACAGGGCCAUCUUGGGUGCCUUACUUUAUCUUAAUUUUUGCCAGUGUGAAAAUUAAGGAUGAAUCAGAGUUACAGCAGGGAUUUGACAAAACACAGGGUGGAUCCAUGCAGUUUGGAAACUUAACUUUGAACGAUCGCGUUCAACUUUCGAGUUACCCUCCCCCUUUUUCCUUUGUUUGUGACGCCCAGUGGCUGUGGGUCUGAUAUUUUUGGGUAGAGAUGGAGAAGACAAUGGGGAAGGCCAUCAGGCACAGAGAAGGCUGCCUUGGUUCUCCAUGGCAACGAGCAGUUGCUUGGUCUGGGCUCUCCCAGCUUUGGGCUGUUUUGUUUCCUUAUCCAGUGACAUUCACAGCCCGUGGCAUGCGUUAUAUUUUGACCUGUUUUUGCAUCAUUUCAUGCGUUUAGACUCUUAAGAGCAUGUGGUUUCUAUAUAUGACUUUUGCUGUUGAUUGAGAAGCACAAUGUUAAUAGAGUACGUGGUGAUCAAUAUGUUUUAUCUUAAAGAAUGUAAAGGUUUGUAGGUUGCGGAACGUUAUUUUGGAGAAAUGGGGCUCGCUUGUCAUAGAUAUUGUGUAUUUGGCCAACACACUACUCAACAAUACCUUGGAUUUGCACAUUGGCAAGUGUACUCAGUGGGACUCGGAACGCCCCCACCAGCUCCUAAUGAGCUACUCCAAUCUCCAAGGCCAAGGAUUGGUCUGGGUGACUUGGGUCUCUUAAAACAAUUAUUUACAGGAACCAAAUGCCAAAAGGAAGAAAUAGGUAAGUUCUCCCACUUUCUCCAAGAUGAAGCUUUUUAAUUAUUGCUAUUAAUAUUAAAUAGGUCUCAUUCAUACAGUGUAUGAGUAGAUCAUUUGGGCAAUUGUCCACAAGGACCAAUUUUUAAAAGAUGUUCCUGUGUUAUGGCUGAAUAGUCUAGUAAUGUCUCGUCCUUUAUUUUCAAUAUUUGAUGAACAUUUUGGUGUUGAAAACUUAGCUGAUAGAUGCUUGUACAUGACUUGUGUUGUAAUAUAGUGAGGUUUUCUUGAUAUAUAUUUAUUAAAAUGAUCAAAAUUCAUUUUGGUUUUUUAAAAUUUCAUUUUAGUGGCUAUUUCUCAUUUUCAUGUUUUUCUGUAUC
rnacentral:lncRNA from 1 species